ensembl:lncRNA
GAUUCAGACAGUGAGCAGAGGCUCCCCUCCGCCUGAUGGGGCUGGGGGGACGCCCGCCCCCUGAGCAUGAUGGGGUCCUCUAAGACAAGGGCGGGGCAGGGGGCUCUGAGCGCGGGCGACCCCCUGGGCGGUUCUCAAAGCGGGGUUCCUGGGCUGGCGGCGGUGGCACCAGCUGGGAGCUGUUGACACGCAGAUUCUGGGGGUCCCCCCUCCCCAACCCAAGACCCACUGAGGCAGAAACUCUGUGGUGGGCUCCGGCAGGCUGUGUUCUGGGGCCUCCCGGGGAUUCUUGUGCUUGCUCAAGUGUGAGAGCUGGUCUAACACUCUGGCCCCACGAUGGAAACUAAGCUGGGGUUACUGGUCCCCAGAAAGAUUGUGAAUGAAUGGGGGUGUCAUUUCCAGAGGAGCCCUCGGCAGGUGAAGGCGCAGGGGGGGCCCGGGAGAGGGUGUCUACCCACCAUCCCUGGGCCUGCUAGGAAGAUGCUGGUGUGUGCCCUCGGGAGGCGUGAGCAGCAGCCAGGAGCUGAGGGUCUGGGCCGUCCGUCCCUCUGGGCUCUGCCAGGCCAGCCUCAGGGUUCGCGAACCUUUCUGAUGCUGCAGUGCUGGUUGGAACAAAGACCCUGGGAUGCGAGCCCUGGGGUUGGUCCUGCCUCAGCUCCUGGCUGGCUGUGUGACUCGGGGCAGGUGCCUUACCUUCUCUGGGCCCUACCUCCUCGGGUUGUCGUGACCCUUAGGGGAGGCGAUCCAGUGCUGGGAACCGUUAGCCAGCUGCGGUUCCCUGUGCCCAGCCGGGGACUUCGUGUUGCCAUACCUUGGAUUCUGGACUGGCGUCAGAGGAAGCACUUCCCAGGGGACCUGGCUGAGUCAUGCUCGUGGCGGGUAGUGGCCGGAGCAGGGAGGGCAGUGGCUUUGGGCCUGGGCAGGCGCCUUUGCUCUGGCUCUCCAAGUGGCCGUCAGCCAGGUGGGGCCGGGCCUAGCGCCUUGGUCACAAGAUGGCAAAAAGCUCUAAAUAAGUAAAGAAGAAAUGCAAUCGCCUUGAUUAGAUCGUCCUGGCCCCUUUCCCGCUGCCCCGUCCCCCCCAUGACAGUAAAGCCAAAUUGGGCGGGGAGUUCCCUUGGGGUGCAGCGGGUUAAGCAUCUGGUGUCGUCACUGGAGCGGCUCGGGUAGCUGCUGUGGUGGGGGUUCAGUCGCUGGUCUGGGGAACGUCCAUAUGCCGCAGGCACAGCCCCCCCCCAAAAAAAAGAGAGAACAAGAAAACCUAAAUUGGGCGAGCCUCGGACCCUGAGUCUUACUGGCUGGUGGGUGGCGCUGCCAGAUCACCUGCCGGAGAGAAUGUCACCGCCGUGAAUUCCUUCUGCCACCUCCCCCCCCAGAGCACUCCAGUGUCACCCCCAAGCCCGCGGCGACAGAGCCCAGCACAGGGCCCACCGCCAGAGGCAGACGGCACCUCGGCUCACGCACCGGGGCCUCCUUUGAAGCCGCACGACACGGGUCCCCGCCCCCUUGUCACUCUUGUCCUGUAAUUCAUUUCGGAUUAGCUUUCAGACCUCCUCGCUGGUCCUAACUUCUGUUGUCUUGGUAACUGUGUCAACCGUUUGCUGGUUUCCGUGAUUAUCUGACAAGAGAAAGGGGGCAGGCGGGGAGCAGCAGGGAGGGGAGGGGACAUGGUGCCUGGGGCUUCAUUGAACCCUGGAGGGGGCCCCCGAGAGCAGGGGGAGAAAGGCGGGGGCGAGGCGAGGCCACCGCGCUAUGCAGGGAGGGGCCACACGGGCUUCUCAACCCCCCCCCCCCCCCGCCCCCAGAAUGGGUGUCCCAGUAUCUUCAGCCUUUGUCCUAGACCUUAAAGGCCCAGGGACAGAGGCAUCCCUCUUCCCCCUCCACGGCUCUCUUAGGACGUUUCGCACGGGUGGGUAGGUUUCAUCCCAUCUCUACUUCAGCCCUAAACACAGGAUGCUGGCCCAGGGCUGGUCGGGUCUUAUCAACAGUUGGGGGGCUGGUGGGUGGGCCUGCAGGGGACUCCCUGGGGUGGAGGGGGACUUCAUAAGCACGCGCGUGGUUGUAAAACAGUGUAUCACGCUCACAGAUGCGGUGGGUCAGGACGUGUGAUGGAUGGGGUACAGCAGGUCUCUGCUCCCUGAGAACUGGGGGCUCUGCUGGAAGGCCUGGGGUCUCUGCUCCCUGAGGCCUGGGGUCUCUGCUGCGGCAGUUUGGUUGCCAGACCCUGGAAUCCUCGGAGGGCCGUCUCUUCACCUGUCUGGCAGGUGAUGCCGGCUGCUGGCCGGGCCCUCCCUCCGCUGGGCUCUCAGCCCGAGCGCCUCCGUGUGGCUUGGGCUUCCUCAUGCCGUGGUGGCCUCCGUGAAGCCCUGCUUCCUACCUGCGGGCUCAGGGUGCCGAAGGCACGGGUCCCAGCUCACUGGGAGAAAGCCGCGUGGCCUUUCAGGACCUAGCCUCAGGAGGCACAUAGUGGCCCUGUCUGUGAAUUACAAAUGCAGGGUGAGCCCUCCCGGGGUCCGUUGGAGGGGUGCUGAGAGCACAGCAGGGUGCUGAGAGCACAGCAGGGUGCUGGCAGAGCCCGCGGGGUGGGAGGUGUGGAGGCCUCUUUGAAACACAGUCUGUUGUACACGCUCCACCCGCCUGCUGGGUCCCUUCCAGGCAGGUGGUGGCCUUGUCGUUUCCAGGAGAAGAGGUGUCAUCCUUUUCCGGGGACAGCUUCCUGAAGUGUGUGUGACGGGGCCUCGAGCAGAGGCCUUGGUGCUCUGGCGGGGCAGCGGGAUGCUCACGCCCGGGUGGCCUCCUUUGGCAGGGGGACCCCUCCAUUUCGGGUCCCCGAGCUCUGCACAGAAUGAGGGUCGUUUGUCAAAAUCAGGGCCGUGUUGAUGUCGCAGAAGAAAGACCAGGAUCCGUGAGAAGCCUGGAGUGCCUUUUGGGGAGCUGCUAAUGAGCUCCGUCUGAUUUUUAUGAAACUCCUUGGUAAAUUAUUAAUUUGGGCCAGAAAUGAAAGUGUGGAACCAGAUAGGCUCAUGAAUAUUUAUCCUCGACUUGGGCUCGCAGGGGUUGGGCGGUGGCUAGAGAACCGGCUAGACUUGUGACCCGGAGACGGCGAGUUACCUGGGGAGGAACCUUCUCCCUCCCUCUCUGCAUCCAGAGGUGGGGCUCCUCACGCACAUCUCACUGGCACGGUGGCAGCUGGGCCAGCACCGCCUCAAGGGAAGGGAGCAUGGGUCAGAGGCUUCCUGACCCCCCGAGUUUCACAACACGACGCGCUUGGCAUCAUGGAGUCACUGGCGGUGGUAGCACCUGCCAGGAAGAAACCCCACGGCCCGCUCCUCUGCCUCUGGCUUCUCUCGGAGGGUCUCCGGGGAAUCAGCGCCGGGGACCCCACCCAGGCCAGAUCCCCCGUGGGGCAUCCUUCUGGAAGAUGAUGUGGUUGGUGUUAUCGAGGCUGCCUCCUGGGUACAGCGUGGUGACUGGCCUCCGUCGUGUCCGAGCUGCCCUGCUUAGUAGGCGAGCCUUUCUGGAUGGUUCUGCCGGGUUCUGCACCGCCUUGACAGCCCGGCUUCCUAGCACGGGAGGCCCUCGGGAGUGAACCGCUGCUGGUUGCCUAGCCUGGCCUUCUCUGCCCCCUGCCCUCGCCAUCCAGGUUGCCUCCACUGCCUGGAGGGCCGGGCUUGGAAGUCCGGAAGCCUCUCUGGGCUGCCCCCUUAUGACUGCUUACUCCGCCCUCUGUGCUCCCAGGGGGUCACCAUAGGAGCGACCCCACCUCUCUUUACGAGGGAGCGUAGCUUGGCCUUGAGCUCCUGGGCUCAGAAGCCAGGUAGCCAGGGUUUGAAUCCCAGCUCUGCCUUUUUUACCUGAGUGCUCUGGGUCUCACUUGACUCGUGUGUCAAGUGUCAGAAUGCCGUUUUCUGUGAGAACUAAAAGGCUUUGUCCAUUUAAAGUGCCUGGUGUGGGGAGUUCCCGCUGUGGCACAGUGGGUAGGAACCUGACUACCGUGGCUCGGGUUGCCCCGCAGGUUUGGGUUUGAUCCCCAGCUUGGCAUAGUGGGUUAAAAGGAUCUGGUGUUGGGAGUUCCCGUUAGGGGUAAUGAAUCUGACUCGUAUCCAUGAGGACGCGGGUUUAGUGGGUCCUUGCUCAGUGGGUUAAGGAUCUGGCGUGGCCGUGAGCUGUGGUGUAGGCCGGCAGCUGCAGCUCCGAAUAGACCCCUAACCUGGGGGCUAACACAUGCUGCGGGUGCGGCCCUAAAAAGACCAAAAAAUAAAAAUAAAAAA